UUAAGUUCAGCGGGUAGUCCUACCUGAUUUGAGGUCAGAGUCAUAGGUGCCAAAAGAGGCAGGGUUUGUAGCAGCCGUCGAAAACCAACAGACAAGAGAAACUUAUUACUCCCGUCAAAGGUCUGAUUACCACUGACACAUUUGAGGCGAGCCAACAGCGUGGCAACACCCAAGUCCAACGUCCUCGAGCAAAACCCGAG
rnacentral:misc_RNA from 1 species